UUGACAGAUGAAAAAUUUCGCCGUUCACAUAUUUAGUAGGGUGCCGAUAUAGUCUGGCUACGAAUCACCAUACUAAAUCAAUGACCCUAUUUAGUUUGCCGAUUAAUCGGGCUACGCUUGGAUAUGAAAUAGGUGCCAUACUAAAUCGGCUGAUGAGUAGGCUCACACAAUUACGCAUGAUUUAGUAGCACAAUAAGUUGAUCGACGUAAUCGGGGGAGAUCGGUCAAUUUAGAAGGUUUGCGUAGGACUCUAUUUAGUUGGCAAACUUUAAGCCUAUUUAGUAUGGAAUGGUCAUAAUUGAAUUAGUUUGUGACAUCUGUUGUCUGAUGGAGUCCAUCGAAGGGAAAGCUUGACCCACGAUAGCACGGAAGGCCUCGUCGGUGCUCAUCAGCAGUUUGUUUGAGUGGCGAGCGCGUUUCUUUCGGCUCCGUCAUGACGACGUCAACCUGACCAAGUUCCCGGACGUUUUCCAUGCAUGCUUGAAGCCGUAAUCGAAGGUGUUCAUGAUUCCAAUGGAGGCGUCGCUAACGACGCCCUCACCGUGGGCCAGUUUCUGGAUGAGGUGCCGGAGAAAAAUCGGAAAAAAUGAGCCAGGAGCUGGAAUCGAAACUCCAGGAGCAGAAGAGCAAGCUGAAGGAAGAGAUGCGCGACAAGGAGGAAAGACUGCGAAUGGUUUAGGAAAUCAUUAGCACCCCGGUUGGGAAAGUGGCUCGUUCCAACAGCGUUGAAGAAUUGACCACACCGGUUACUAGCCGGAUUACUUCAACGAAUGCCAAUGGAGUCCUCUACACUCAAAGAACGAUCAUAGAGGCGUAGCAGUGGCCAAUCCCCGUCAUCGGAGGUCUCGCUCCACGGGCGAACUUUGGCUGGAACACCGUGCUGCAAACCCAGUGCCACUGGGAAGGAUUCUACGUCCCUACUACACCAAACGGAAGUCGGUUAACAAACUGAACGAGGUUCGGGACGUUACCCACGCUAAAGCCUCCAAGUACUUCCUCAUUUCCCAGGAGGCUGAUACCGAGGGGGAAGUCGAGACGAAGAUUUUCAAGAGUGACGUGAUGCCGACAACUACCGACCAGAAAUUCGUUUCGCCAACUACUGGACAUAUUUUUAUUCAGAAAAAUAAAAAUACCUCUACUGGAAUCGCUUCGAGACACGAAAAUUAACCACGUACAUGAAUCGCCCAAUUUAGUCGGAUGGUUCCAUAUUUAGCGGCCAAUCAAUCCGGCUAUUUAGUUGGAUUGGGUAGGGUUUUAGGAAAACAAUCGAUUUUUGUGGUCAAUAAAUUCGGCUAUUUAGUCGGAUUGAGUUGGGUGGUAGGAAGAAAAAUCAAUUUUUGCCGUCAAUCAAUCCGGCUAUUUAGUACGAUUUGGUAGGGUGGUAGAAAAACAAUCGAUUUUAGUGGUCAAUCAAUUCAGCUAUUUAGUCGGAUUGAGUUGGGUGGUACGAAGAAAAAUCAAUUUUUGCAGUCAAUCAAUCCGGCUAUUUAGUACGAUUGGGUAGGAAUAUCUCAUCAACACUAUCGCCCUACUAAUCAGGCGAUUUAGUCGGUUCCUACACAAUCAUGCUACUCAUCACCCUAUUUGAUAGGCCUACGAAAUCGGCUUAUUAAUCGGCUAAUGCCCAGCAAAAACUCCCAUAAGCGACGUUGCAACAAUAGGCCGAUUAGUAUGAACGAAAAUCGGCCGACGCACC